rnacentral:rRNA from 1 species
UACGGGAGGCAGCAGUGGGGGAUAUUGCACAAUGGGGGAAACCCUGAUGCAGCAACGCCGCGUGAGGGAUGAAGGUUUUCGGAUUGUAAACCUCUGUCCUUAGUGAAGAAACAAAUGACGGUAACUAAGGAGGAAGCUCCGGCUAACUACGUGCCAGCAGCCGCGGUAAU